UUAAAUCCUCCAUGCUGACGGAUCCACCUAAAUCCAGACCAGCACCUAUCCAUCAGGAAUGGUCAAGAGUACAACGGAAGUCUCCUGAGUCUUCUCACGGACGAGACAGACGCUCCCACUCGAGAUCUCGCUCCCCUACCUGAGGAGUGACAGACAAGCUCAUAGAGACCUUGUGGAACUGUUUACCGUCAAGCCCUCAUGACGAACUCCACUGCAGAACUAUGUCAAAGACUAUUCUUUGGUUGAGGUAUCUUGUUGUUUAUAGGGUUAACGUUACCAGUUAUUGACAUCAGGGCGGAAUGUCUGCUAGAUAAUAUUGAUGCGUGUUCUAACGUUGAAAUUGUAUUUCCA